UACGGGGGGGGCAAGCGUUGUUCGGAAUUACUGGGCGUAAAGGGCUCGUAGGCGGCCAACUAAGUCAGACGUGAAAUCCCUCGGCUUAACCGGGGAACUGCGUCUGAUACAGGAUGGCUUGAAUCCGGGAGAGGGAUGCGGAAUUCCAGGUGUAGCGGUGAAAUGCGUAGAUAUCUGGAGGAACACCGGUGGCGAAGGCGGCAUCCUGGACCGGCAUUGACGCUGAGGAGCGAAAGCCAGGGGAGCAAACGGG
rnacentral:rRNA from 1 species